UACGGAGGGUGCAAGCGUUGUCCGGAUUUAUUGGGUUUAAAGGGUGCGUAGGCGGCCCCUCUAAGUCAGUGGUGAAAUACUGCAGCUUAACUGUAGCAUUGCCAUUGAUACUGGGGGGCUUGAGUACAGAUGAGGUAGGCGGAAUUGAUGGUGUAGCGGUGAAAUGCAUAGAUACCAUCAAGAACACCGAUUGCGAAGGCAGCUUACUAAGCUGUGAACUGACGCUGAGGCACGAAAGUGUGGGGACUCGAACAGG
rnacentral:rRNA from 1 species